rnacentral:rRNA from 1 species
UACGUAGGGGGCAAGCGUUGUCCGGAUUUAUUGGGCGUAAAGAGCGUGUAGGCGGCCACACAGGUCUGCUGUGAAAACUCGAGGCUCAACCUCGAGCUGUCGGUGGAAACCGUGUGGCUAGAGUCCGGAAGAGGAGAGUGGAAUUCCCGGUGUAGCGGUGAAAUGCGCAGAUAUCAGGAAGAACACCCGUGGCGAAGGCGGUUCUCUGGGACGGUACUGACGCUGAGACGCGAAAGCGUGGGGAGCGAACAGG